GUACGGGAGGCAGCAGUGGGGGAUAUUGGACAAUGGGGGAAACCCUGAUCCAGCAAUGCCGCGUGUGCGAUGAAGGCCUGCGGGUUGUAAAGCACUUUCGGUGGGGAAGAAAUGCUCAAAGAUAAUACAUUUGAGAGCUGACGUUACCCACAGAAGAAGCACCGGCAAACUCUGUGCCAGCAGCCGCGGUAAUACAGAGGGUGCAAGCGUUAAUCGGAGUUACUGGGCGUAAAGGGCGCGUAGGCUGAUAUUUAAGUCGAUUGUGAAAUCCCUGGGCUUAACCUAGGAAUUGCAGUUGAUACUGAAUGUCUAGAGUAUGGUAGAGGAAAGUGGAAUUCUUGGUGUAGUGGUAAAAUACGUAGAUAUCAAGAAGAACACCGGUGGCGAAGGCGACUUUCUGGGCCAAUACUGACGCUGAGGCGCGAGAGCAUGGGGAGCAAACAGGAUUAGAUACCCGAGUAGUCCU
rnacentral:rRNA from 1 species